rnacentral:rRNA from 1 species
UACGUAGGGGGCUAGCGUUGUCCGGAAUCAUUGGGCGUAAAGAGCGCGUAGGCGGCCAGAUAAGUCCGGUGUGAAAGUCAGAGGCUCAACCUUUGAAUGCCGCUGGAAACUGUCUGGCUAGAGUCCGGAAGGGGCGAGUGGAAUUCCUGGUGUAGCGGUGAAAUGCGCAGAUAUCAGGAGGAACACCGGUGGCGAAGGCGGGUCUCUGGGCCGAUACUGACGCUGAGGAGCGAAAGCGUGGGGAGCGAACAGG